rnacentral:rRNA from 1 species
UACGAAGGGGGGCUAGCGUUGCUCGGAAUCACUGGGCGUAAAGCGCACGUAGGCGGACUCUUAAGUCGGUGGUGAAAUCCUGGAGCUCAACUCCAGAACUGCCUUCGAUACUGAGAGUCUUGAGUCCGAGAGAGGUGAGUGGAACUGCGAGUGUAGAGGUGAAAUUCGUAGAUAUUCGCAAGAACACCAGUGGCGAAGGCGGCUCACUGGCUCGGUACUGACGCUGAGGUGCGAAAGCGUGGGGAGCAAACAGG